CUACUGGCUCCCCUGUCUAUGCCUGAUUCGGAAUUACCCCUCUGAGCUAAAACACAACAUCUCAUCCUAGACCUAGAAUAGAAAUGAUUACAUUCCAAGAGUGUUGGAGGGUGUAACGGUCAUCAUCGGUGGAAGAAGAAGAGGACCAAGGUGCAGCGUGGUAUGUGUGAUGCAUUGUUGUGGAGCACAGCAGUGUGACAGAUCAUGUUCCCAGGCAGGGCUGCUGUAGAGAAGAAGAGGUCUACUGCGCUGCUACAGAGAAGAAGAGGUCUACUGCGCUGCUAUAGAGAAGAAGAGGUAUACUGUGUUGCUUUAGGGAAGAUGUCUACUGCGCUGCUAUAGAGAAGAAGAGGUCUACUGUGCUGCUAUAGAGAAGAAGAGGUCUACUGCGCUGCUACAGAGAAGAAGAGGUCUACUGCGCUGCUAUAGAGAAGAAGAGGUAUACUGUGUUGCUUUAGGGAAGAUGUCUACUGCGCUGCUGUAGAGAAGAAGAGGUCUACUGUGCUGCUAUAGAGAAGAAGAGGUCUACCGUGCUGCUAUAGAGAAGAAGAGGUCUACUGCGCUGCUACAGAGAAUAAGAGGUCUACUGCGCUGCUAUAGAGAAGAAGAGGUAUACUGUGCUGCUUUAGGGAAGAUGUCUACUGCGCUGCUAUAGAGAAGAAGAGGUCUACUGUGCUGCUAUAGAGAAGAAGAGGUCUACUGCGCUGCUACAGAGAAUAAGAGGUCUACCGUGCUGCUAUAGAGAAGAAGAGGUCUACUGCGCUGCUACAGAGAAUAAGAGGUCUACUGCGCUGCUAUAGAGAAGAAGAGGUAUACUGUGCUGCUUUAGGGAAGAUG